CAGUCGCCGCGGUAAUACGUAGGUGACGAGCGUUGUCCGGAAUUAUUAGGCGUAAAGGGAGCGCAGGCGGACAUAUAAGUCCAUCUUAAAAGUGCGGGGCUCAACCCCGUGAGGGGAUGGAAACUGUAUGCCUUGAGUGCAGGAGAGGAAAGCGGAAUUCCCAGUGUAGCGGUGAAAUGCGUAGAUAUUGGGAGGAACACCAGUGGCGAAGGCGGCUUUCUGGACUGUAACUGACGUUGAGGCUCGAAAGCCAGGGGAGCGAACGGGAUUAGAUACCCCCGUAGUCCCUGUCUCUUAUACA
rnacentral:rRNA from 1 species